GCGAGCGCAGGCAGAGCUUGUCGGUAACGGAGGACCUAAUGCCAAUCUCAUUGAGAAAGACGGGAGGGACAGACGUUUCUAGUGCUGCACACAGACAAGACACAGGAAGCUCUUGGGAAAAGGGACAUUUAACCACCUCAAAAGGAAGUUAAGGACAAAUCUCUCGCUCAAAUAAAUCUUAAGAGGGGCACUGGGUACGCAGGAGUCGCAUUUUUGGUUACGAGCAACUUGUGGAAUUUAUCGGGCACAUUUUCCUGAAAAGAGACCUGGCUUCCCUCUCAACCCGUUUAUAUUUAAUUUCUACUCAUUUAAUUUAAUUUCGUCAGCUGCCCUAAAACAGCUGUCAUCCUGAGAAGUGCGGGUGUUGCAGCAGCGGACGGUGCGUAAAGACCGAGGAGACACCAGCCGCGGACGAGCAACAGACACUUUCACUUGCGGUUUUAUACUAUCAUUAUUAUUUAUAUUUCAGCCUAUUUAUUUGGGACUUUUUCCGGCUACUUUGGGGCGUCGGUGGUGAUUUCUGUGGAAUAUGGUGGGGGAAAUGGAAACGAAAGAGAAGCCGAAGCCGACCCCAGACUAUCUGAUGCAGCUCAUGAACGAUAAGAAACUAAUGAGCAGCCUGCCCAACUUCUGCGGGAUCUUCAACCACCUUGAACGGCUUCUCGAUGAAGAAAUCAGCAGGGUACGAAAGGACAUGUACAAUGACACGUUAAAUGGCAGCACGGAGAAGAGAAGCUCAGAGCUCCCGGACGCCAUCGGACCAAUCGUUCAACUCCAAGAGAAACUUUAUGUGCCUGUUAAAGAAUAUCCUGAUUUUAAUUUUGUGGGCCGGAUCUUGGGCCCGCGGGGGCUCACAGCCAAACAGCUGGAGGCAGAGACAGGAUGUAAGAUCAUGGUGAGAGGAAAAGGCUCCAUGAGGGACAAGAAGAAGGAGGAGCAGAAUCGAGGCAAGCCCAACUGGGAGCAUCUGAAUGAAGACCUCCAUGUACUCAUCACGGUAGAGGAUUCCCAGAACCGUGCAGAGAUAAAGCUGAAGCGUGCAGCGGAGGAGGUUAAUAAACUACUCGUGCCUGCGGCAGAAGGGGAGGACAGUCUGAAGAAGAUGCAGCUGAUGGAACUGGCCAUUCUUAACGGCACCUACAGAGACGCCAAUAUCAAAUCACCUGCCCUUGCCUUCUCUCUUGCAGCGAGCACCCAGGUGCCCCGGAUCCUCACUGGCCCAGCACCCGUUCUGCCGCCCACAGCCUUGCGUACGCCCACACCUGCUGGGCCUACCAUCAUGCCCCUCAUCCGACAGAUCCAGACCAUCAUGCCCAACGGCUCGGCCCACCCCACAGCCGCCACACUGGUGCCGCCUGGUCCGGAGUCAGGCCUGAUUUACGCGGCACCCUACGAGUACCCCUACACACUGGCCCCUGCCACCUCCAUUCUGGAGUAUCCAAUCGACUCCAACGGGGUGUUAGGUGUGGCUUUCCCCACGAAAGGCUAAAUGCGGAGCCUCACUGCGCCCCUCAUCCCAUCUGAGUGUUAACACGCACGAGCUUUCAUUUCACAGCUUCCUUGUUGGUUUAGAAUAUUCUUGGUUGAGAAGCAUGAAUCUGGGCCUAGCAGUCAGCCACACACACUCCUGUUCGUUUACACUGGCUAUUCCCAGAGCCCAAAGAGGCUGUACUUGUAAUGCCAUACAUACUGUAUGCCACCAUACUCAUGCAUUUCCCCUGGAAUGUGCUGCUGACUGCUAGGUUUUAGGGUGGAAUAGAAAGAAAAAUAUAAAUCAAACAUUGUCCUGCUUUACUAAUCACUUAAUUCAUGCCGUACAUUUCUAUUCUCCAUUUUAUGUAGUACUACAGCAAAUGUGCCUAAAUGUUUCCUCUCUGUGCCCAAGCUUAGAGAGUGAGUUUAACAGUAUUAUAUUUAAAGACUUUCUUCACUCGCUCCUGAGCAAGAUUACGUGACUAGUAAAGCUCCCUAGUGAGGGUGUGUACUCCUGUGUGCUCAUCACUAAUGUAUGUCAUACUGUAUCCAAGCUACGUAAAAACCCACAGAUCCACUGAGGAUAAAUGAAACCAUGUGAAUUUUGUACUUGAUAGAUUUGCAUAUGGGGGAAAAAGUAUUAUUUGUGCCUUAACUUGUAUAAUUUGAAAGAAUUGCGCUUGUCAAACAUAUUUGGUCAUACCGAUCAAUUAUGCGAAACCUGUCUGAUUCAUCUGAUAGAAACUGUGAGGUUUGAUUGAUCUGAUGAUCUGUGUUUUCUGGUGAUGUUAUUGCAAUCCAAGCAGGUGCAGUGGCAACUAAGGUUCGAAGACACGAAAUGCGCGUCCAUCCUUACCAAAGGGUAGUGACCGCAGACAGAGCCACCACUGGCAACUAACCCCUGACCUUCUGACCUCUUCACCCAAUGACACCCUGCUCAUUACCUGCCUGCAGAUCACACCUCUGCCCUAAACAUGAAUGAAUGACAGAAAAAAAAAGAGUAUCUCAGAGCCUUCUCUUGUCAAAGGCAGUGGAUAUACAGCUUCCCUAAACCUCACGUGUGGGACACAUGCGGCAGAUGGCCGCCACUAACUUCUCAGAGGGGGCGGACGGUCCUGCCACUGUAGAUCUGCACUCUUUUUAAGCAAUAAGCAAUAAUGAUUCGCCCCGCACCCUCGAAAUCAAAGCUAGACCUUCAACAACUUCUAGUUCACUGCAUAAAAGCUACAUCAUAGACAACACAGGCCCUUCUUAAAGUGGAGGAACACGGACGUCAACAGCCCUCCAUCGCACUCCAAACCCACUGAAGUGAUCCUCCUGUUACGGUAAUGAAUCUGUCUCUGAAUGUAAUGCAUGAUGGUGUGGAUGGUGCAUGCACCUCUGUAUCGCAUCAUGGCAACCCUGUGAACCGGCAAAUAUGUCUGCAGUUCUAUAUCCUGACCGAUUAUAGAAGUGAUUCCAGUGUGGCAACAUGAGUCAUUGCUGUCUCAAUCCAAUGUGUAAGAAGAAGUGUAUUUUCAGAAUUCAUACGAAAGCAUUUCCCUUCCAGAACAAUCUGACACUUUUUAGUGAAUGAGCGUCUUUGAGGAUGUAUAAGCCAUGCUUGCCUAUCUGCUGUACAAAUGUAUGUAAUUUGUAGAUAAAAUGUUCAAAGAAUGGAAAAAAGAAAACACAUGUACAGAAACUUUUAUUAUUCUCCAGAGAACAUAUAUUUUUACAUCUCGAGAUUUUAUAGUGACAAAUAUUGUGACGUGAACAAAAAAAAAGUAAUAUUGAUCCCUUUAUGAAGUGAAAACAAUCCAGUUUUCUUUAACUGGAUGUAGACAUGGAUGACCAAAACAUCCCUCUCGUUGUAUGGAAGGGGUUGAUAGGGAAAUAUAAAAGUGCCUUAUCAUGGUUUCUCAUGGUUCCUGUUUAUUUUGAAUGUCAUCUUUAUUGGUGAAUGAGCAGACCAGAACAGGACACACAGCUUUCCUUUGAAAAACACUACCAGUCUAAAUUUUAGACUCAUUUGACUGAAUUUGUUUCUUGUGAUCUCUUAACUGAAGACGUACACUUAAAUGCUUGAAAUUGGUUUUGUAGACAAAUAUACUGUAUAUUGUACCUGUGCAUGAAUUCAACAUCGUUAAAAAAAUGUCACACUCUAACUAGUUUUUUAUUCGUUUACAAACAAUGUACAUGCAUCACAGGAGAUUUAUGUCAUUUUUGUCAUUUUUUGUGAAAGUCAUGAACAUUUCCACCACAGUGUCAAUUCCAGCACAUCUCAAAUUCUACAUUGAGUUAAAUAUAAUUCUGUGGUGGAAAUGAUGAUAAUGGAAAUGACCUUUUUGGUGUUUUUGAUAUAAAAUGGCAGCCUGAUCUCAUGAAAAUUGUGUGGCCGUGCCAAAAUUUUUGCAAAACUAGAUAAGGUGCUUUGUUACACGUUUGGCUGCAGUUUCCUAGUGAAAUGUCCAGCAGGGGGCGCCAGAAGCGAAUGAAAUGGUGUCGUAAUCAGACAAGGUUUUUAAGGUGAAAAUUAGAUGGAGGUUUUAAUGAGUAAAAUCUACCUCCCUGACCUAAAACUAACCUAACCUAACCAAUAGUGUCCUAAAAGCAAAUGUGACAUGAAAAACCAUUUUCUGAAGCAACCACGUCAGCUCCAGCUUCCGUCUUCCGAGUCCAAAGAACAACACUCAACUAUCAGGUGAGCUACCUCGCAAGCUAAUCACGUUUGAAUAAGUAUGUAAUUGUAGGUGAGUGUAUAAUACAAGCGUUAAAAUGUGUCAUUUUUCAAAUGAGUUAGAGUAAAAAUGUUUCAGUAAAAUAACAUAGCAGUGUGUGAGUAAUAGUGUGUCAUAAUUAACUGUUGUAGUUGUGAUUUGUGUGAAAGUGAAUAAAACGCACAGUUGUUGUCACUCCUAUAGUUUUAAUUUAACCAGGAAACUGCAGCAAACGUAGAAUGCGGAAUGUGAAAAUCAGUUUGCAAAAAUGUUAUGUUCAUUCUGUGAAACUAGGUUGUAAAAUAGCCAACUCCUUCGUCUUGCUACGGCUAAUUUCAUAGCUAACAUUUGAUCUAUCCUAAAUAUACACAGUUGAAUAAUAUUUUCACACUUUUUUGGAUAAUUUGGCAAUAUUACAGAAUGAAAUGACAGAUUACAUGAUUGGAAAUAAUGCCCAAUUAAAAAUAUUCUGCUAACAACUGAUAUUUCCCUUUGGGUCAUUCCUACAGUUCAGUGACAUUUUUGCCUUGAAACUUUUGAAACAUUUAACACACAUUUGUAUAAGUAUCUUUAUGUUUCAUUAUUAAAGAAAUAUGUUAAAGAUUUUAUAACAUACAGUACCAGUCAAGCUAAAUGACUUUGAAAAUUCUGAUGUGUAUCCAGUUAAAUGGGCAGGGUCAGGGUGGAAAAUGACAGGGUGGACGAUAACGGGUUGGACAUUUAAUGGAUAAAUUAGACACUACAUGGUCUGUGAAUGAUAUCUUGCAAACAUACAUGUAAACUUUAUUGAUGAUUUUAUUUCUGUAAACAUUAAUAUUUUGAAAUUUUAUAUAUCUUCCCAUAACGAGAUGGACAUGUUAUGCUUGACCACAUAUGAAUAACAUCACAAAAUAAAAGAUAAAGAGUUAUACACUUAAAAUAACUCAAAAUGAUUUUGCUGAAUGGCUGAUGUCAUCUCCAGUGUGUGUGAGAUGUCAUUUCAUAACAUAUAUCUUCAAUUAAAGGUUACAGUAUCAUGACAUUACAGGGUGGACAAUAAAUCAAGAGGCACACAAAAAACCUCCGCUUUCAGUGUUACAAUGACACAUUUACCACAAGUGACAAAAUGUCACUAACCACUUAAUUGGAUGAAAUCCGAUGAUUUGGCGCUUAGUUUUGUCAAAGAUGUUUGACGUGCAGCUCUGGGGACAUGAAGAAAUGACAUUAGUGCAACAAAUUAAAAUGAUCAAAUAUUUAAAAAUGGACUUUUAAGCCCACAGUAAUCUGUAGCGUAAUUGAUCGUCUUUAUUAUUUUUACCAUUAUUUAUUUAUUUAUUUUUAUAAUAAAAAAUGAAAAUUGCCCAAAGUUGAAUAAGCGACCAUAUAUACCUUUUUGAAAUGGAUGGAUUAAUACAUGGGAGCUCCUUCAAUACUGUUUAAAAAGCUUCUCAGGAUGCACCUCAUGAAGUUGUUUGAAAGAAUGGCCAGAGUGUGGAAUCUAGACAAAGAGUGCUUUAAAGAAGCUAAAAUAUAGUUUUACUUAACACUUUUUGGUUACUUUAUUCCCAUACUUACUUUUGUGUUACUCAAUAGCUAUGGUGACUUAACUGUUAUUCUAAAAGUUAAAAUAUUAAUGUUAUUCUUAUAGUAAAGCAUAAUUAGAUGUGUCCAAAUGUUUGACUGGUAGUGUAACCAACUCUACCACCAUCUUAUACUGUAACAUCCUUCCUGUUUCGGCUGCAAGGAGUCAGAGCUUCAUCCCAGUUUUACAUGAUGAUCCAAUUGACGACCUUCUGUACCACACAAUUAUUGACAGACUCGGGAAGUCAAUGCUGAUUUAUUGCCUUCAACCUUGACUCAUCCUUCAGAAUUGCUCACAGUAUUGGAAGAAUUAAUAUUCCGAUGAAUUUUGCACUUUGUUGAAGUUCAGUGCAUUGUAAUAGCGAUGUGAGAAAAUAUAGAACUGUCCAAAUUUCCAACUAUGGAUAUUUGGUAACACAUAACUAUGGUAAUACAGGUACAUUAGUUUCACUAUUAACAGAGGAUAAGCUGUGUGUACUGCCUGAGCUGGGCUGCAUUAUACCAUUGUAAUGUGUGUGUCCCUCGAAACUCUUUCUUUACUAUGAAACAGAAUGGCCUCUGAAGUCUUGAGGGGAGUCUCAUCGAACAUGUCUACCUGUUGUGUUUGCAUUUCCCGCCUUAUUUUUCUGUUAUGAUUCUACAGUGUCAUAACAGUAUCAAGAUUCAAAGUGUUUGAAUCCUUUGGAUUUUGAAAUGAGAACGUUCUAUUCAUUGAAAACAAUGUUUUUGGCAUUUAAGAGAACAGAAAAUGGACUAUUAAGAGAAUAGAUCCAAAAGAAACUUUUUGAAUAAAGGUAUAUACUAUAUAUACAAAUCCACCUAGAGCCCCCAUCUGUCAUUAGUCGAACAAACAUACAAAAAGUUGACAUGCUCAAAUUAACAGAGGCGUGUUUUAAGAGUGCUACAAAAAAAAUCUUAUUUAUGAAACAUUAAACUGGGAUAGCAGAAAGUAUUUGAACUUCAGUGAAUAAAAAUGACACACUUCACCUUUAAUUUUAAGAAUGAAUUUUGAUCAUGUGAAUGUUGUUUGUUAUACAUGUGGAUAUGUGUCAAGACAUGGUGUCUUUCAGCCCCAAACACGUGAGUUCCCUGCCUAAGUAUUGCCUAUGAAAAGACAUGUCUGUUUUAACAGCCAUUGUUACAAGUUUAUAAUGUAUUUUUCUAUCUUAUUUUAUAUGUAAUAAACAACAUUAAAUGCCUUG